AAGGAGUACCUUCUAAGCUAAAAUCCAAGCCAUAUUCUCAACUUUUGACUUUUGGCUUAUUUUCGUACUUUUCAUACUAAAAAAUAAGUGCUUUUAAGCACUUUUUAUUUUUGUCAAACACCUCAAAAACAAAAAAAAAGUGUUUAAAAGCCGAUAAACAUUUAAAAUAAGUCAAUUCAAACACCCUUUUAUUUUUGAAACAGACUAAAAAAUAAGGUAAGACAAAUAAAUUGAAUCGGAGGGAUUAUUUGUUGUUUUUGCUGUCAUUCAGUUAGGGUUCUGUCAGCAUUAGGUGUUCUUUUUUCGACCGGAGUGUUGCUACUUUGCGCCGUGUGUAUUGACUGUGUAAUGUGCACACUUUCGUUAGUCCUUUUUCGAGCUCUGGACCAUAAUUAAUGACUCUGGCUAAUGAGGUUGGUUGGGGGAAAUUAAUAGUGUUGAAAUGACCAAAAUGUCCUUUAUCUAGUUUUAGAAACAACAGAUGUAGUCUUUCAUGCUCACAUUUAUCACUUAAUCUUAUGAUUAAAUGAUACUAUUAUAUAUUAUGACUUUAAUUUUAAACGUUUGAUGUAAAUGCGACACACAUUUAUCACUUAAUCAUGGCUAUUUAAUUCUUAACUGUUAAAGUUAAAUUACUUAGUUCGGUGUAAAUAUCAAGUGCAAAUAAAUUAACUAAUGUAUUACUCCCUCCGUCCCAUUUGAACCGUCACAUUAGCUUUUUUCACGUCCAUUAAGAAAAAUAAAUACAAGGUAUAUAAUUUACUAAGAUCCUUAUUUAUUAGAUGAUUUUUGAGAAUUGAGCAAUAGUAAAAGGAACUACAUCUUUAAUGUUGAGGUUAUAGUUGGAAACAAUUGCUAAUUUUAAUUUUGAAUUCCUAAAAUAUAAUUAUUUUUGGAAUAUUUAUUCAAGCUAAAGCGACAAUUAAAAUGGAACAGUGGAAGUAAAAUGUAGGGGAAUAAUUUCUUUUAGAAAAGUUGGGUAAUUGAAACUAGUGGAAAAAAAGAAAAAGUUUAAUGGGAAGUUUCGUGGUGGGACCAUAAUUAAUAUUGACCCAUAUGGUAUCUCUUGUCUUCACAUUUGCAUAACAGCUGUUUUGGGUCUUGUUGUACUGUUUUGAUAAUUAAUUUCCUUAAAUGAGGGUAUUUUAGUAAUUAAUUAUUAUAUAUUCUAGCAGUUAUAAACUUUUUUUAUCCCUAGUUAUUUUGCAUAUUGAAUUUUGCUACCUACCUCACCGAUUUUAUUCUUAAAGACCCAUAAUAAAUAAGUGUGGAAAUUGUAGAUGAGACCUGUCAAAGUGAGUAGUAGGAAUCAGUCAACAUUUGAAUUGGGUUUUAUAUAUUUGUAAUAUGAAUAAUUAACAAUUGAAGGUUAUGUGAUAAAGACAAUACAAUUAAAAAUUACCGAUUUCCAACUAAUUAAUUUAAAUUCUACCCAUUAAGAUGUUGAAAUAAGUAUCAAUACAUUGGAAAAAUGAACCAACAACUGCCUAAGCUGUCUAAAUCUUGAUAGGCAGAGUUACACAAUAUAUGCGAGGGUGGAAGUAGCCUUCAGGGUACGGGUUUGGCAGAACUCAGUAGCAUUGGCCCAAACCAUAUAUAUGUAUUAAGAAAUUUAUAAAAUGUACAAAAUUAAAUUUGGAACUCAAUUACUAGUAGUUGAAGUCGUCAUCUUAGAAUUUAAAACUCAUAAUAUUCAAAUCUCGAACCACAUUUAUUAUAAAAUAUGAAUGUGGAAAAUUUGAGUUAGGCACAUGCUUGGAAGAUUUGAAACUUGGGGUUGAAUUAAUUUGAAUCUAGAAGCUAAUCAACAAUUAAUUUGGAUCUUGAAUUGUUUCAAUAUUUAUGGAGCAGUUUUACUGAACAUGGGCAUUGUUGACUUUGAUCAUGUGUGUGAACUCUUGCUCAUUGAUAUAAUUUUUAAUAUUGAGGGUAAGUAUUUGACAUAUCAGUAUAUUGGGUAUUAAAUAAGGUGUUUGGUUGAGCAUGGUACUGGUGGAAAAUGUAUUUAGGUCAAGCUUCCUAUUUAUAGCCUUGGUCUCCCUAUAUAUUCAAUUUUUCUAUCUUUGUAGAAGCAUCUGCAUGUGACUGUCCACUUCCAUGAGGUCUCUUCUAUAACUGUCCAGCUAUUAAAUUGCCAUAUGCUGCAUUUUAUGUGCGACUAUUUAAAUGACUAGUUACUUUGACAUGGUGUUUCUUGAUAAUUACUAAUUUACUAGAACUAAUAGAAGUUAGUUGAAGAAAAAAUAUUUACUCUGUCUUUCUAAUUUAAUAAACAUACUCCUGAAAAUUGUACAAUUAUGGGUCACUCAAAUCACGUACUAGUUAUGCAGAUAUUAUACUGCAGCAUUGUUUAUGCAAUGAUUCAUAAUGUGGGAAUUAUCAUGCGAUGGAUAAUAAUGGCGAAAUUAUUAUGCAGGAAUCGCUUACUUUAGGUCCUUUUUCCUUGAUAAAAAACCUUUAGGUGUCCUUUUUUUGAUAGGGAGUAACUUAAUAAGGGCCUUUUUGUUUUUGUUUUUAGUUACUCUUAUCCAUGUAUUAAUAUUCUUAUUCCACAUUCUAACAUGCUAUAAUAAGUUAAUAACUUAGGUUGCUACAUGGCUUUUUUUUCCCCGAUAACCAUGUUGUCCGAGCCGGCUUAUAUUCCUACAUGACUCAUGCAGCUAUAAGCAAUGCGGAGUUUAAUGAGGCCAACCAAGCAUUGUAUUAAGUUAUACAGUGUUUUUUUUUCUUGUGGACCAACCAAGCAUCGUAUAACUUAUGUGGAAUUUUAUGAUGUAAUUAUCUUGUUUAUAUGGUGAACUAAACGACCCCUUACUCUGCUGUAAACCUUUCACAUGUUUAUUGGAAUACGUCAAGCAAGUCAACUUUUGGCUUGAUCUUUUUCAUAUAAAACUAUAUUUUACAAAAUACUGCAACAACAACGACGACUCAAUCUCAAGGAGACUUUUUUUUU